GGGUGCGAUCAUACCAGCAUUAAUGCACCAGAUCCCAUCGGAACUCCGAAGUUAUGCGUGCUUGGGCGAGAGUAGUAUUAGGAUGGGUAACCUCCUGGGAAGUCCUUGUAUUGCACCCC
rnacentral:rRNA from 1 species